rnacentral:lncRNA from 1 species
UCUUUGAAACUGAGAAGGAAAUGGAAAGGACUGUAGCAUGUCCCCAGAACUCCACGAACAUCCUGCCCUUUGCUUCAGGAAACAAGGAUCUGAUGGAAAUGUAAGGUCUGCUAUUGGUGAUGUUCCAGACCAUGAACCUGUGGCUUACGUUCUAGGACACCACAGGUGAGUUACUCAAAUGUGAAGACAGUUUCCUCAUCUGGAAAUAAGACUUGGACCUUUUUUUCACAUCUAUGACUUCCUGUGAUUUGGUGAAAUUUUUCCUUGUUUGUUUUUGGAAAGCUACACAGAA